CUCUCUCUCUCUCUCUCGAUUGGGAAAGGUAUUUGGGAUCUUCUUUUAAUAUAUUAACUAAACACUUAGCAACAAAAUGAAAGCAAGGAAAAGGGAAAAAAAGAAAGGAAACACAAACGGAUGGAGAAAACCUAUACUCUUCUUCCUCUCAAAAGAUAAUAUAUCAAAAUCAAAAUAUGAUGAAUCAGAUAUUUAUGAUCUCAAUGCAACUAUUCAAUGUUUGUGCUGUUGCUUUUAUUGUCUUUUAAAAAAAGACGUCGCUUGGUAGCGGCAUAGACCUCACAGACGAUCAACUUCAUUUGUCCAAUAUCUUCUGUCUUCUAUCUAUUAUUGGUAAUAUGUUCUUGGUAACAUAUGAUUUGCUCUUUGAUUCAAAUAUUAAAGUUUUGGAUCUCAUGCAC
rnacentral:lncRNA from 1 species